rnacentral:rRNA from 1 species
GAUGAACGCUGGCGGCGUGCCUAAUACAUGCAAGUCGAGCGAACAGACGAGGAGCUUGCUCCUCUGACGUUAGCGGCGGACGGGUGAGUAACACGUGGAUAACCUACCUAUAAGACUGGGAUAACUUCGGGAAACCGGAGCUAAUACUGGAUAAUAUAUUGAACCGCAUGGUUCAAUAGUGAAAGACGGUUUUGCUGUCACUUAUAGAUGGAUUCGUGUCGCAUUAGCUAGUUGGUAAGGUAACGGCUUACCAAGGCAACGAGGCGUAGCCGACCUGAGAGGGUGAGCGGCCAGACUGGAACUGAGACACGGUCCAGACUCCUACGAGAGGCAGCAGUAGGGAAUCUUCCGCAAUGGGCGGAUGCCUGACGGAGCAACGCCGCGUGAGUGAUGAAGGUCUUCGGAUCGUAAAACUCUGUUAUGAGGGAAGAACAAAUGUGUAAGUAACUAUGCACUUCUUAACGGUACCUAAUCAGAAAGCCACGGCUAACUACGUG